AUUGAACGCUGGCGGCAUGCUUUACACAUGCAAGUCGAACGGUAACAGGGAGCUUGCUCCGCUGACGAGUGGCGAACGGGUGAGUAAUGCGUCGGAACGUGCCGAGUAGUGGGGGAUAACGCAGCGAAAGUUGUGCUAAUACCGCAUACGUACUGAGGUAGAAAGUGGGGGACCUUCGGGCCUCACGCUAUUCGAGCGGCCGACGUCUGAUUAGCUAGUAGGUGAGGUAAAGGCUCACCUAGGCGACGAUCAGUAGCGGGUCUGAGAGGAUGAGCCGCCACACUGGGACUGAGACACGGCCCAGACUGCUACGGGAGGCAGCGGUGGGGAAUUUUGGACAAUGGGCGAAAGCCUGAUCCAGCCAUGCCGCGUGUCUGAAGAAGGCCUUCGGGUUGUAAAGGACUUUUGUCGGGGAGGAAAUCCCCAGCGCUAAUACCGCUGGGGGAUGACAGUACCUGAAGAAUAAGCACCGGCUAACUACGUGCCAGCCGCCGCCGUAAAAC
rnacentral:rRNA from 1 species